AGUGAACGCUGGCAGCAGGCCUAACACAUGCAAGUCGAACGGCAGCACGGCAGUAGCAAUACUGUGGGUGGCGAGUGGCGGACGGGUGAGGAAUACAUCGGGAUCUACCCUGUUGUGGGGGAUAACGUAGGGAAACUUACGCUAAUACCGCAUAAGAACUGAGGUUGAAAGCGGCGGACCGCAAGGCGUCGCGCGAUUGGAUGAACCGAUGUCCGAUUAGCUAGUUGGCGGGGUAAAGGCCCACCAAGGCGACGAUCGGUAGCUGGUCUGAGAGGACGACCAGCCACACUGGAACUGAGACACGGUCCCAGACUCCUAACGGGAGGCAGCAGUGGGGAAUAUUGGACAAUGGGCGCAAGCCUGAUCAGCCAUGCCGCG
rnacentral:rRNA from 1 species